AGUGUGGGUUCAUUUCUGGGCUCUCUAUUCUGUUCUACUGAUCUAUGUGUCUGUUUUUAUGCCAACACCAUAUUGCUUUGAUUACUGUGGCUUUGUAGUAUAGU